ensembl:lncRNA
GUUACAUUAUUAUACAGGCAAAAGUGGCGUCAUGUUAUGGAGUGGGGUAGCCUUAAGAAAAAGUACACGAAACCGGAGGAAUAGGAGCUAACAUCCAGAUUAGAGGGUUCAUACAGUGUAUUGCUGAGCCGAAGUAGCGGAGCUCCAGUGGCGCAAUCGGUUAGCGCGCGGUACUUAUAUGACAGUACAUUGUAGAGCUAUGCCGAGGUUGUGAGUUCGAGCCUCACCUGGAGCAGUGUUUUUACUAAGAGAGAGCGAUAGAGCUCACACCCCGGGCAGGUUGGUGAUGAAGAGCCUGUCAGAGCGCCAAGGGGAAGUGAUGUCAUGGCGCUCUAGGCAGAAGAACAGCAGACUGGAGUUUCUCCACGUUCUUGCUGAAUUUGCUUGGUUCUCUGGUUAGAAGUUCUCAGGUGUGUGCUGCUGUUGGAGAUUCAAACUCAGCCCACGUAUGUUAGUCUUUAGUAUAAGACUGUGAAGUUUAUGGGUUGUUUGUCUCACUAACAACUUGGUCAAAUGUAAAAACCUAAUUACACUGUAUAUGUGUUCCUAAAUACAAUAAACAUGAUAUGUUUCAAGCCUCAAAACUCA